ACUCAAAGGAAUUGACGGGGGCCCGCACAAGCGGCGGAGCAUGUUGCUUAAUUCGACGCAACGCGAAGAACCUUACCAAGGUUUGACAUGGCCGGUUUACCCCUGGAGACAGGGGGUCCUUCGGGGCUGGUCACAGGUGGUGCAUGGCUGUCGUCAGCUCGUGUCGUGAGAUGUUGGGUUAAGUCCCGCAACGAGCGCAACCCUUGUCCCAUGUUGCCAGCAUUAGGUUGGGGACUCAUGGGAGACUGCCGGGGUCAACUCGGAGGAAGGUGGGGAUGACGUCAAGUCAUCAUGCCCCUUAUGUCUUGGGCUGCAAACAUGCUACAAUGGCCGGUACAGAGGGCUGCGAGCCUGCGAGGGUGAGCGAAUCCCGGAAAGCCGGCCUCAGUUCGGAUCGGGGUCGAGUUGCAGACCCCGUGAAGUCGGAGUCGCUAGUAAUCGCGAAUCAGCAAUGUCGCGGUGAAUACGUUCCCGGGCCUUGUACACACCGCCCGU
rnacentral:rRNA from 1 species